rnacentral:rRNA from 1 species
UCUUUAUGCUUUUAUUUAAGGUCAGACCUGCCCAAUGAUUGAUUAAAUGGCCGCAGUAUACUAACUGUGCAAAGGUAGCAUAAUAAUUUGUCUUUUAAUUGAGGACUCGUAUGAAUGGUUAGAUGAGGGAUGAGCUUUCUUUGUUUUAGUUUGAGGAACUUUAUUUUUCUGUUAAAAGGCAGAGAUUUAUUUAUUAGACGAUAAGACCCUAUAGAGCUUUAUUCUAGAUUUAAAUUUAUUAUUUAGGUGUAUAAUUAUAUUUUUAUAAUUGUUGAAUUUUAUUGGGGUGAUAGGUAUAUUUUAAUAACUAUAUUUAUCUCUAUUCAUGAAUUAGUGAUUAAUAGGAUCCGCUUAUAGCGAUCAUAAGAUUAAGUUACCUUAGGGAUAACAGCGUUAUUCUAUUGGAGAGUUCUUAUUGAUAGUGGAGUUUGCGACCUCGAUGUUGGAUUAAAA